ACCGAUAGUGAACCAGUACCGUGAGGGAAAGGCGAAAAGAACCCCUGUGAGGGGAGUGAAAUAGAACCUGAAACCGUGUACGUACAAGCAGUGGGAGCGGACUUGUUCCGUGACUGCGUACCUUUUGUAUAAUGGGUCAGCGACUUAAUUUUAGUAGCAAGGUUAACCGUAUAGGGGAGCCGUAGGGAAACCGAGUCUUAACUGGGCGAAUGAGUUGCUAGGAUUAGACCCGAAACCCGGUGAUCUAGCCAUGGGCAGGUUGAAGGUGCCGUAACAGGUACUGGAGGACCGAACCGACUAAUGUUGAAAAAUUAGCGGAUGACUUGUGGCUGGGGGUGAAAGGCCAAUCAAACCGGGAGAUAGCUGGUUCUCCUCGAAAGCUAUUUAGGUAGCGCCUCGAGCGAAUACCAUUGGGGGUAGAGCACUGUUAAGGCUAGGGGGUCAUCCCGACUUACCAACCCUUUGCAAACUCCGAAUACCAAUGAGUACUACUCGGGAGACAGACGGCGGGUGCUAACGUCCGUCGUCAAAAGGGAAACAACCCAGACCGUCAGCUAAGGUCCCAAAGUGUAUGUUAAGUGGGAAACGAUGUGGGAAGGCUUAGACAGCUAGGAUGUUGGCUUAGAAGCAGCCAUCAUUUAAAGAAAGCGUAAUAGCUCACUAGUCGAGUCGGCCUGCGCGGAAGAUUUAACGGGGCUAAACAUACCACCGAAGCUACGGGUUUGCAGUUUACUGCAAGCGGUAGAGGAGCGUUCUGUAAGCGGUUGAAGGUGAAGGGGUAACCCACACUGGACGUAUCAGAAGUGCGAAUGCUGACAUGAGUAACGAUAAAGGGGGUGAAAAACCCCCUCGCCGAAAGACCAAGGGUUCCUGUCCAACGUUAAUCGGGGCAGGGUGAGUCGACCCCUAAGGUGAGGCCGAAAGGCGUAAUCGAUGGAAAACAGAUUAAUAUUUCUGUACCUCUGCUAACUGCGAUGGAGAGACGGAGAAGGCUAGGCUAGCGCGGCGUUGGUAGUCCGCGUUUAAGGUAGUAGGCGGUGUUCUUAGGCAAAUCCGGGAACACAUUACGCUGAGAGCUGAUGACGAGUCACUAAGGUGAUGAAGUAGUUGAUGCCAUGCUUCCAGGAAAAUCUUCUAAGCUUCAGGUUAGUAGGGAUCGUACCCCAAACCGACACAGGUGGUCGGGUAGAGAAUACCAAGGCGCUUGAGAGAACUCGGCUGAAGGAACUAGGCAAAAUGGUACCGUAACUUCGGGAGAAGGUACGCUGCUGUUGGUGAUGGGACUUGCUCCCUAAGCUGACGGCAGUCGCAGAUACCAGGUGGCUGCAACUGUUUAUCAAAAACACAGCACUGUGCAAAAUCGCAAGAUGACGUAUACGGUGUGACGCCUGCCCGGUGCUUGAAGGUUAAUUGAUUGGGUUAUCGCAAGAGAAGCUCAUGAUCGAAGCCCAAGUAAACGGCGGCCGUAACUAUAACGGUCCUAAGGUAGCGAAAUUCCUUGUCGGGUAAGUUCCGACCUG
rnacentral:rRNA from 1 species